rnacentral:rRNA from 1 species
UGAAUACGAGACGCUAAGGCGUCGAAGUAGUGUAUAUCAGACUUCCAAGAAAAGCUUGCACUGUCAUAGAUAAAAAAUGCCUGUACCAUAACCGACACAGGUGGGUAGGUAGAGUAUACUAAGGGGCGCGAGAUAACUCUCUCUAAGGAACUCGGCAAAAUAACUCCGUAACUUCGGGAGAAGGAGUGCCUUAUUUAUAAGGUUGCAAUAACAAGAUCCAAGCAACUGUUUAUCAAAAACACAGGUCUCCGCUAAGUCGUAAGACGAUGUAUGGGGGCUGACGCCUGCCCAGUGCCAGAAGGUUAAAGAAGUUGGUUAGCAAUUGCGAAGCUGAUAACUGAAGCCCUGGUGAACGGCGGCCGUAACUAUAACGGUCCUAAGGUAGCGAAAUUCCUUGUCGGGUAAGUUCCGACCCGCACGAAAGGCGUAAUGAUUUGGAUACUGUCUCGGAGAGGGGCUCGGUGAAAUAGACUUGUCUGUGAAGAUGCGGACUACCUGCACCAGGACAGAAAGACCCUAUGAAGCUUUACUGUAACUUGAAAUUGAAAUUGGACUUUAUUCGCGCAGCAUAGGUGGUAGGCGUUGAUUAUAAUCUUGCGGGAUUAUUGGAGCCAUCAGUGAGAUACCACUCUUGUAAUGUUAGAUUUCUAACUUUGAAUCAUUAUCUGGUCAAAGAACAGUUUCAGGCGGGCAGUUUGACUGGGGCGGUCGCCUCCUAAAUGGUAACGGAGGCGUACAAAGGUUUCCUCUGAACGGUUAGAAAUCGUAUCUAGAGUGUAAAGGCAUAAGGAAGCUUGACUGUGAGACCUACAAGUCGAGCAGGGACGAAAGUCGGUCUUAGUGAUCUGACGGUACUGAGUGGAAAGGCCGUCACUCAACGGAUAAAAGUUACUCUAGGAUAACAGGCUGAUCUCCCCCAAGAGUUCACAUCGACGGGGAGGUUUGGCACCUCGAUGUCGGCUCAUCGCAUCCUGGGGCGGUAGUACGUCCCAAGGGUUGGGCUGUUCGCCCAUGAAAGCGGUACGCGAGCUGGGUUCAGAACGUCGUGAGACAGUUCGGUCCAUAUCCGGUGUAGGCGUUAGAAUAUUGAGAGGAGCCUUCUUUAGUACGAGAGGACCGAGAAGGACAUACCUCUGGUGUACCAGUUAUCGUGCCAACGGUAAACGCUGGGUAGCUAUGUAUGGAGUGGAUAACCGCUGAAAGCAUCUAAGUGGGAAGCCCACCUCAAGAUAAG